rnacentral:rRNA from 1 species
UACGGAGGGGGCUAGCGUUGUUCGGAAUUACUGGGCGUAAAGCGCACGUAGGCGGCUUUGUAAGUUAGAGGUGAAAGCCCGGGGCUCAACUCCGGAAUUGCCUUUAAGACUGCAUCGCUAGAAUUUGUGGAGAGGUAAGUGGAAUUCCGAGUGUAGAGGUGAAAUUCGUAGAUAUUCGGAAGAACACCAGUGGCGAAGGCGACUUACUGGACACAUAUUGACGCUGAGGUGGCGAAAAGCGUGGGGAGCAAACAGG